UGUUACGUUAUCACGCAAUGACAUGGCAACGUCAUUUAGGAACUUUUAGCAACUAAUCAACCUGCCUCUAGAAAUGUACCCUGAAAAUUAGUUGGCAACACUGAAUGAGACCAACGUUGAGGAAGGUGGUCUUGAUCACGCUGUUGGGCCGGGACCAGCCCCGCUGAAAGCGCAGGUCUAGAGAUGGUUAAAGUCCUGAAAGCAGGCAGGGGAGUUCCACCGUCUCAUUCAAGAGCUUUGACUGUUUGGAGAGGAAUUCCGAAGUUACUUUCGUCUGGACCGAAGCCAGUUCAAUCACCUGCUCCAGAUGGUUGGAGCCAGAAUCGCCCGGAUGGAUACCAACUACCGUGAGUCCAUCAGCCCAGUUGAACGCCUGGCGAUUUGUCUCCGAUUCUUGGCGACAGUGGACUCCUACAGGACCAUAGGAUUCAGCUUCCGAGUUGGAUGGUCCACGGUGGCAGGCAUUAUCCCCUCUGUGCCACAAGCCAUUUGGGACUGUCUGGUUGGUGAAUACAUGCCUGUCCCCAAGGAGGAAGACUGGAGGACCAUCGCUGCCGAGAUCCUGGAGAGGUGGAAUUUCCAACUGUCUUGGCUCUAUUGACAGGAAACAUGUAGUGAUGGCGGGACCCUCCGGGGCUCUGCCUUCAGCCAGGCACUUCAGGAUGGCACCCUGGAGAUUCCACCACCUGCAUCACUCCCUGGGGCUGAAGACCCUGGACCUGUUCCUCAUGUCUUCAUCGGCGACGAGGCAUUUCCUUUAAGACCCAACCUCAUGAGGCCCUACGCUGGAUGCCAGCUGCCAUUGCCAAAGCCUGUAAGAGUCUUUAACAAACGACUGUCCAGGGCAAGGUUAGUUGUUGAAUGCGCCUUUGGGAUUCUGUCAGCCCGGUGGAGAAUGCUUGGUCUCAGCCCCUCAAAUGUUGAUGCCUGCUUGAAGGCCACAUGUGUUUUCAAAAACUACCUGCGGAGGUCAUUCCAGGAGCCGCUCCGGAUGGAGAUGGGUACGCCAAAUGGUCACCUACCUGAUGUCACCAGGACAGGUGCCAACGACGCCUCCAGACAGGCACUCCAGGUGAGGGAGAAGCUGACCACCUACUUCUCAUCGCCAGCAGGUGAAGUCCCAUGGCAGUAUGCCGUGGAGUGAAACAGAUCUUUUUAAGUGCCCCAUAAAAGGUUAUUUUAAGAACCAUCCACCAUUGCCUAUAAAAUUGCAUUUCUUCCCC